rnacentral:lncRNA from 1 species
CGGCGGCGGGUGGGUGCACGGCGCGGGAGCGAUGGGGAGCACGAGGGAGUUCGGCGAAAUGGGGAAAAGGAGAGAGGGGACGACGGCAUAGCUUAAAUAGGGAGAGAGGGGGGCGGACGUGGCCGGGGGAGGCGGGAAUCGCCGGCCAACGUGGGGGAGUGGGGGAGGAGAGAGAGGCGGGAUUCGAAAGUCGAAUCCCGGCCAUCUCGGGCGCGGGCGGGAGAAAGAGGGGAGUGGGCGCGGGAGGUGCGGCGCAUGUGCGGGUGUUGGCCGACGUGGCCCGGAGGAGGCGGAGGCGUUGGCGCGGCGGCGGUUGCGGGCGCGGCGGCGUGGGCGCGAGGUAGGAGACGGGUCCGACAGGUGGGGCCCACCUGUCGGCGACCCGGGUGAGAGGAGGCGGGCGGCUGGCCCGCGCGGCCUAGUUGGGCCUUGGCCUUCGGCCGGCCCAGCGGGAGGAGAGGAGGAAGGAGAAUGGGCCGGUGGCCCACUCGAAAAGAAAAGGGGGAAAAAGAAAAAGAAAAAGGAAGAAAAGGAUUUUCCCUGGGAAUUAAAAUAUUGCUUGCUCAAUUUUAAUUGGUUAAAAUUAUUUCUAGGGCUCUGAAAAUUCCACUAAAAAUCCUGUUAGUGACUUUCGACAUGUAGAACUCAAGAAAAAUUCCACAUGCCAGAUUCGAUUAUUAUUUGUAUUACUUUCUUAGGGUUCUCUCUUGAUUUACACCGGCAUUUUCUCAGGAUCAUUUAUAAAUUAAAUUUUAGGCUUGGGAGGAGAACUGCAGGGUGUGACAUUUAUUCCACUUGCUGUGUUCUAUUGCCAUUAAGCAAUACUUUUGCACACUGAGUUCAGAGUAAGAAGGUAUUUUGAAUAUAUUUAUGUCUCUACUGAGGGAUAUUGUGUGUGUAGUUUAUGCAUGCUUUCAGUUUUUAAAUAUUUUCCGUGGUUGAUUAAGACGAUUAGAUUGAAUAUAUUUUUUUAGAGUAAAGUCCAUCACCGGUCCCUAAACUUGUACCGUUGUGUCAUCCCGGUUCCUAAACUCGCAAAUCGACCGUUCAGGUCCUCAAACUUGUUCGACUGUGUCAUUCCGGUCCCUAAACUUUCAUAUCACUCAUUUAGGUCCUCCAACUUGUUCAGUUGUGUUACCCCGGUCCCUAAACUUGGAUUUGAAUAUUAUCUGGGUCAAUAGGACGGUCUAAAGACUUUAUAUUUAAAAUAAUUCAUAACUUUUUCAUGUGAACUUUAAUGAAGACAAACUUUAUAUCAAACUUGUAGCUCUCAACGCGAUCUACAACUUUGUAGUUGAUUUUUUUUUAUUUUAAGUCAUUUUUUGUCCGAAAAUGUAAUUUUAAAAUUAAAAUUUCAAAAUCUAUAAACAUGAAACAAUAUUUUGGGACCCUAAACAGUUUAAAUUCAAAAACUUUUCAACUACAAAGUUGUAGGUCGUGUCAAGGGCUACAAUUUUGAUAUAAAGUUUAUCUCCAUUAGAGUUCACAUGAAAAAGUUAUGAAUUAUUUUUUAUAUAGUUUUUAGACCGUCCUGUUUAGGUACCAGGGUGACACAACUGAACAAGUUGGAGGGUGACACAACUGAACAAGUUGGAGGACCUAAACGAGUGAUUUGCAAGUUUAGGGACCGGGAUGAUAUAGUCGAACAAGUUUGAGGACCUGAACGGUCGAUUUGCAAGUUUAGGGACCAAGAUAACACAGCGGUACAAGUUUAGGGAUCGGUGAUGGACUUUACUCUAUUGUUUAAGUAGGUGUAGAUAUAUUUUUGUCUUGGACCCUGUUUAGAUGGGACUAAAACUUUUAAGUCCCUAUCACAUCGGAUGUUUGGACACUAAUUAUAAAUAUUAAUAAAACCCAUCCAUAAUCUUGGACUAAUUCACGAGACGAAUCUAUUGAGCCUAAUUAAUCCAUGAUUAGCCUAUGUGAUGCUACAGUAAACAUUCUCUAAUUAUGGAUUAAUUAGGCUUAAAAAAUUUGUCUCGCAAAUUAGCUUUCAUUUAUGUAAUUAGUUUUUAAGUAAUAUAUAUUUAAUACUCUAAAUUAGUGUCUAAAUACAGAGACUAAAGUUAAGUCCCUCGAUCCAAACACCACCUUGGUUGCAUAGCUAAAUUGGAAUGUACUGUACUUGCUAUGCCCCCUUUAAUGCUUUGGAAUUAAAGCUCUGUACUGUUGUCUACUGGAUCUGCAUGGACCAUAGGUGUUUAUUCCACUUGCUAUGUUCUAUUGCCAUUAAACAAUACUUUUUCACACUGAGUUCAGAGUAAGAAGGUAUUUUGUGUUGAGAAACCAGUCGAUUCUACUGAUCAGCACACAAGCAAACCAAACACAGAGUUGUGGAACACAGAAAGUAUGAGCGAGUGGAAGCUUUAUUUCUUCUGGAUUUGAGUACAAGCUACAAGAGGAGAAGCAGGAGACCGAAGAUCGGUUAUUCUUGCCUUGGACCUUCUGGGCCCUAUUUAUAGGCGGAGGAGGGUGGAGGCUUACGUCGUAAGCCUUGGACCUUCUGGCUUGCGUCGUAAACCGGCUUACGUCGUAAGCUGGCUUCUCUUGUAAGCUGACUUCCUCUGUAAGCUGGCUUGCGCCGUAAGCUAGCUUUCUUUGUAAGCUGGCUUCUAGCGUAAGCUUUCUUCUGUAGUAAGCUUCCCACUCAUAAUUUAAUUCGUCCACAAUAAGAUAGGUUUCAUAACACUCCCCCUUGGACGAAUUUGAAUUAUGCGCAUGCCUCAUCAAAAACUCCUCCCAAAAACCCAGUGGGAAAAAAUGGUAGGAGAAAAGAGUACAUGGCACUCUGAAUAUUGUGUUGCACCUGUUGCCUCGUUAAAAACCUUGCGUGAGAAAAACCCAAUGAGAAAAAAAAACUCACCAAGGGAAAAAGAGUACAACAGUUGAUCAAGUCUUCAGGACUUGUUUGUGAUUCUUCAGGAUCACAAUCAUGGGCUAUUCUCUUAAUUGUUUGCUCCCCCUGAUCCUUGCAAUUCACUAAGUCCUCUCAUGCCAAUGCCACGAACACAUCUGUGAAAACUUGAUGCUGGCAGAGACUUCAUAAAUAAAUCUGCGAGAUUUUCGCAUGACUUAGUUUGCAGGACAUUUAUUUCCCCGCUCUUCUGGAGCUCGUGGGGAUAAAAGAAUUUGGGAGCAAUAUGCUUUGUGAAAUUUCUUUUCACAUAGCCCAUAUGUAUUUGUGCAACACAAGCAGCAUUAUCCUCAUAUAUAAUGGUGGGGGUGUUAUCAAUGUUUAGGCCACAUGACUUCUGGAUGUGACCGAUCAUCCGCCUAAGCCACACACAUUCUCGUGUGGCCUCAUAUAGAGCAAUUAUUUCUGAGUGGUUGGUUGACGUUGCAACCAGGGUCUGCUUUACAGACCACCAGGAAAUGGCAGUAUUACCACAAAGAAAUACAAACCCAGUCUGGGAUCUGGCAUUAUGAGGAACCGACAUAUAGCCAGCAUCCACAUAUCCCACCAUGGAUGGAUCUUGGUUCUUCGGGAACCAUAACCCAAGAUCUUGAGUACCUCGAAGGUACCUGAGGAUAGUUUUGACACCAACCCAAUGUCUUCUAGUUGGGGCUGCACUAUAUCUAGCCAAUAGAUUAACUGCAAAAGCAAUAUCAGGUCUCGUGCAAUUGGCUAGAUACAUUAGUGCUCCAAUAGCGUUUAAGUAGGGAACUUCAGGUCCCAACACUUUCUCAUCAUCUUCCUUGGGUUUAAAUGGGUCCUUAUCCGCUUCUAGGGAUCGGACCACCAUGGGGGUUUUCAAUGGAUGACAUUUAUCCAUAUUGAACUUACCAAGGACCCUCUUGGUAUAGGUAGACUGGUGCAUAAACACUCCUUCAGGGAGGUGCUCGAGCUGCAGGCCCAAACAGAACUUGGUUUUCCCCAAGUCCUUCAUCUCAAACUCGGUCUUAAGAUAAGCCAUUGCUUCUUUAAUGUCCUCUGUGGUGCCAAUGAUAUUAAGAUCAUCGACAUAGACCGAGAUGAUACAAAAUCCAUUCAGGGAUUUCUUUAUGAACACACAGGGACAAUCAUCAUUGUUUAAGUAACCUCUCUUCAGGAGAUAGUUACUUAACCAAUUGAACCACAUCCUUCCGGAUUGUUUCAAUCCAUAUAAUGAUCGCUGCAGGCGAACACUAUACAUGUUGCGAUUUCCUUUCGGAUUCGCAAUCUUGAGUCCUUCAGGGACCCUCAUAUAAAUUUCCGAAUCUAGUGACCCAUACAAGUAUGCGGUCACUACAUCCAUCAACUGCAUAUCCAAAUUCAUAUUAGUUGCCAUUGAGAUCAAGUAUCGGAACGUGAUUCCACUCAUCACAGGAGAGUAAGUUUCAUCAUAGUCAAUACCGGGUCUCUGCGUGAACCCUUGUGCCACUAGCCUCGCUUUAUACCUCACCACCUAGCCAUGUUCAUUCCUCUUCCGGAGGAAGACCCAUUUGCAUCCUACAGGGAUGACUUUUGGAGGUGUUGGGACUACAGGCCCAAAAACCUCUCUUUUAUAAAGCGAGCGCAACUCUGCCUCUAUUGCUGCUUUCCAUUUGUCCCAAUCUGAGCGCUUCUGGCACUCAGCCAUGGACUUUGGUUCUGGAUCCGGAUCCAUUAUGUCAGCAAUCUUUGAGGCAAAGUGUAUGUCGACAAUAGUGGUCUUUCUAUGAUGUAACUCUCCUGUAUCAGCAUAGUUAGUGGAAAUCUCCUCAUUUAUUUCCUCCAGCUCGUCGUGAUUUCCCAUAAAGACCGAGUUGGAGUGUUCCGAUCUUCCAGUGCCAAGGUACGCGCGUAAAACACUGGGUUCUCCAUCUUCAGGAUGGUGUCCUUCUGGGACCAUCUCAACUUCAGGUUGAGUUGCCUCUUCUGGGGCUUUCUCAACUUCAGGUUGAGCUUCUUUAACUGAUUCUUUGAGUGAAACAAGUGGCUCAGGUUCUUGUCUCCGCGGACGUCUCUGCGGAACCUUGUCCCGAGCACCCGGAGGUCUCCCCCUCUUCCUAGGAUGGGGGGUAAGAGCAGAGUCAGUAACCUUCUGGGUUACCUCUACUCUUUCCGGCGCAUUUACUGCAGGUAUAUGCGGCCUUGUCACUCCCUUGUAAUCAGUGAAGGCAUCUGGCAACUUAUUUGCAAGAUUUUGCAAAUUUAUGAUUCUCUGAACUUCCAGUUCAGCUUCACUAGUGCAUGGAUCUAAGGACUGCAUCCCAGUUGCGUUCCAUAUUAUAUCUCGGCAUUCUUCUGGAUGCUUUUCUCCCCCUAAUGCUGGGAAAUGGUCCUCAUCAAAGAUACAAUCAGCGUACUGAGCCGUAUGAAGAUCCCCAGUCAUAGGCUCAAGAUACUUGAUUAUGGACAAAGUCUCAUAACCAACGUAUAUCCCCAACUUCCGGUGGGGUCCCAUAGAAGUACGAUGUGGUGGUGGGAUCGGCACAUAUACUACACUGCCGAAUUUACACAGAUGGGAAAUACUUGGUUCUUUUCCACGCACUAGCUGAAGGGGGGAUGUACUAUGAUAUGCAGUUGGCCUGAGUUGAAUUAGUGUUGCUGCAUGCAACACAACAUGGCCCCAACAACUGGUUGGCAGCCUACAAUCCUGCAAUAGUGGCCGAGCAAUCAACUUGAUCCUCUUGAUCAAGGACUCAGCUAGGCCAUUUUGAGUGUGGACAUGUGGUACUGAAUAUUCUACCUUAAUGCCCAUGGCUAAACAAUAAUCAUCAAAAGCCUUCGACCUGAACUCACCAGCAUUAUCCAUUCGAAUGGAUUGUACGUGGCUAUCAGGGAAGCUAGCUUUUAACCUGAUGAUUUGGGCAAUUAGCUUUGAAAAAGCAUGGUUCCUUGUGGACAACAGGUCCACAUGGCUCCACCUGGUAGAUGCAUCAAUCAGUACCAUGAAAUACCUAAACGGGCCCGACAGGGGCUGGAUAGGUCCACAUAUGUCACCUUGUAUCCUUGCCAGGAAAACAGGUGACUCAUCCCUAAUCUUCAGGAGGGAUGGCCUAGUGAUCAACUUCCCUUUUGCACAAGCAGGGCAAAUAAAAUCUUCAGGAUUAGGGAAGUCUUUAGUUUCAACAUUGUGGCCAGCAGAAUUGUUGAUGAUUCUCCUCAUCAUACCCAACCCAAGAUGACCCAGCCUGUCAUGCCAAACUCUAAAUGACUCUGGGUUUCUAAAUAUGCUCUUCAUCGCAACAUAUUCCUUAGUGGGUUUUAUGUACGUGUAGUACAAACCCGAUGGCGAUGAAGGGAGCCUUUCCACCACUUGCUUUUGAUAUCCAUCUAUUUUUGUUAUGAGCAGAUAUUCAGCAUCUUGCUCAAUCUCGGUUCUAUAUGGAAACCGUUUGCACGGAUAUCUUUAAAACUUAAGAGGGUACUCUUUGAAUCAGGAUACAAUAGAGCAUCCUUUACAAAGAUAUGGGUACCCAUAGGGAGAACUAGAGUAGCACUUCCAGUGCCUACUAUAUGGGCAUUGCUUCCGGCAAUGGUCAUAAUAUUUCCAGUUUUCUUAGUUAAGGUGUGGAAAUAUCUAGUUUCCCUUAAGAUUGUGUUAGUGUUGGCACUAUCUACUAGACAUAUAUCCUCUUCUACCAUGGGAUUCCCACAAAGUCUGUUUAUAGAACAUAAACAUAAAUGAAAUUAAACAUGGAGUAAGUUGAUUCUAUUAAGGGAAACAUUACAAGGACUUCAGGCCCAGUAAAAGACUAAGCGUGCUCUUCAGGAGCAUUAUUCAUGACCAAAGUUCUACAUGUGCUACUCAUGCGGAACACUGUAUAUGACUGACAUAUAGGAGAUUACUUCAGGUCUCCAAAUAUGUCAUCAUCUUUUUCAAGAAGGUUGUCCCAAUCAUCGUCCAUACAGACGUCCCCACCAUCCUUAACAUUGAUAAGCAUGUCAUCAUGUUUUUCAAUCUGAGCUUCAGGCUCAAUGGUGAAGUGGGACUCAUGUUGGCUCUUUUUCUCAUUCAUGCUUUGUUGGUAGAGCUCAACCAGGUGCUUGGGGACACGGCAGUUACGAGACCAAUGCCCUCUGCCUCCACAUCUAUAGCAGUUAUCCUGCUUUACCCCAGAUGAUUCACCUGUAACCUUCUUGAGUUCGCCUUUACCUCUGGGUUUACCCUUGUUCUUGCCCUUGAAUAUGAUACUUCCCUUACCUUUCCCUUUCUUCUCACCAUGGCCUCUUUUACGGCCAUGUGAGUUUCCAACAACAUUGGCGUGUGCUUCGGGCACUGCCAUAGACCCAGUGGGUCGAGCAGAAUGAUUCUUUAGAAGAACCUCAUUCUGCCUUUCUGCAACUAACAGGACUGAAAUAAGAUCAAAGUACUUCGGGUACUUUGAGUUCCUGUAUUGCUGUUGCAGCACUAUGUUGUUGGGAUGAAAGGUAGAUAAGGUUUUCUCGAUCAUCUCAGCGUCAGUGAUCUUCUGGCCACAUAAACGCAACUGAGAAAUGAUCCUAUGUAGAGCAGAGUUAUACGCUGCCACAGACUUGUAGUCUUGGAAGCGUAGGGUGAUCCAGUCAUGUUGUGCUUGUGGGAGCACAAUUGACCCUUGCUGGUCAAAGCGAUCCUUCAGGGAUUGCCAUAAUACCAGUGGAUCUUUCUCGGUCAUAUACUCAGACUUCAGGUCUGGGUGGAGAUGGUGGCGCAAGAAAUGCAAUGCCUUUGCUUUCUCGGCCUUCGUAGACUCCACAGUGCCAACUUUGGGCAGCACAAUAGUAUGAUCGAGACCCAUGGAGUCGAGUUUAAUCUCAACGUCCAAUGCCCAAGUGAGGUAGUUACUACCAUCCAAGGCAAGCUCGGCGAAUUCCUUCUUUGCUAUGUCCGACAUGUCCUGCAACAACAUUUGGUAUUUACGACAGGUAAAUACGAUGUGCAGGGUCGACAUGAAUUGGUCAUGCGUAAUCUUCAGGAUUACUAUUGUGUGUAAUCUUCAGGAUUACUAGUGUGUGUAAUCUUCAGGAUUAUCACACAGUUUCCCAUAGAAUCUUUCCUAGCAAAUUAACUUAAGUAAUCUUUAGGAUUACAGAUUGCUUGAUUAAAUAUUAUCAAUCAUGCUAGGAAAUCAAUUUCAUAACAAUAAAAUAAAUGUUAUGAAAGUCAUGCAAACAGCAAAGUAAGCAUGUAAAACAAAACGAAGAGUAUACAUGGGCACAACUUCAUGUAUAUUGUGCAGACUGUAAAAAGUAAGAUAAACCAUAUAGUACUUUCCCCACUAUGAGCCCACGCUUCAUGGCGACAGAGCCGACCUUAGUGGCAUCAAGGGCCCAUAUGGGUGAUGUCCAUAAAACAAAGGGCAUCCAUAACGACACUUCAGGGUCGUGCAGAAGGUUCGUUUGCUUCCGAUAUUUGGUGGCAACAGCGGCAGAGCCGUCCAUUAAGUUGCCAUGCCGGUGCUUCACGCACCUACAUCACCUCUAGCAUUUGGGCGAUAACGGCGGCAGAGCCUCCAUUGUGUUAUCGAAUAGUGCUAAGAGGAUGUACCAUCUCAAGCCUUUGGACGGUAAUGGCGGCAGAGCUGCCAUCAUGUUACCGAGCGUUGCUGAGAGAAUGUAUCAACUCUAGCAAUUGGACGAUAACGGCGGCAGAGCCGCCAUCAUGUUAUCGUGUAUUGCUGAGAGGAUAUCGGAGGAUGGUACUUCAGGUACCAUGCUCUUCUGCUUAUUUCAACUAUAGCAGAAGAAUGAUUUGCAUAUAAAGAGCAAGAUGAUCAGUAGAAACUGAUUUCUCACCUGUUUACCUUUUUAGCACGGUAAAGUCUCAUGCUGAUAACGUGUUGAGAAACCAAUCGAUUCUACUGAUCAGCACACAAGCAAACCAAACACAGAGUUGUAGAACACAGAAAGUAUGAGCGAGUGGAAGCUUUAUUUCUUCUGGAUUUGAGUACAAGCUACAAGAGGAGAAGCAUGAGACCGAAGAUCGGUUGUUCUUGCCUUGGACCUUCUAGGCCCUAUUUAUAUGCGGAGGAGGGUGGAGGCUUACGUCGUAAGCCUUGGACCUUCUGGCUUGCGUCGUAAGCCGGCUUACGUCGUAAGCUGGCUUCUCUUGUAAGCUGGCUUCCUCUAUAAGCUGGCUUACGCCGUAAGCUGGCUUCCUUUGUAAGCUGGCUUCUAGCGUAAGCUUUCUUCUGUAGUAAGCUUCCCACUCAUAAUUUAAUUCGUCCACAAUAAGAUAGGUUUCAUAACAUUUUGAAUAUAUUUAUGUCUCUACUGAGGGAUAUUUUGCGUAUUUUAUGCAUGCUUUUAGUUUUUAAAUAUUUUCGGUAGUUGAUUAAGACUGUUAGAUUGAAUAUAUUUUUGUCUCUAUCAUACUAUUAUGUUAUUAUUAUGUUAUGAAUUUUUUAAAAAAUAUUCAGGUAAUUAAUGUCAAUAUCAUCUUGUUAAUAAUGAAUUAAUUAUGCAAUAUCAUCUUGGUAAAUAAGUUGUAUUUCUUGCUCCCGCUACAUGCAUUUAAUAGGACAGAGUUUAUGCAAAUUACAAUUACUCCUAAAGUUACAAAAAAAACAAAUAUAAUUGUUAAGGGUUAAAGAAUUAUCUUCCGUCUUCAUAAAUCAGUACGCUCAAUAUCCACACCAAAUAUUGGAUGUAUAUAUGAGUCUUGUUUGUGUUUUCAGUUUCUUUAUAUAGGUUGAGAAGAUGUUUGUAUCCUACUUGGACAUGUAAUUCUUAUUCUUGGAUUAUGUAGGUAAUUCCUGCGUUGUAAUUCGAGCCAUGUAAUUGUAUGACUCUAUUUGGGAUUCAACAUUUCCAUGUGGCAAACCGGGAAAAAAAAAGGGAAACCGGGCAAAAAAAACGCGUGAAAAAAAAGAAUCGGACGAAAAAAACCGCGUGUGCGAAAAAAACCGGGAAGAAAAAACAAAAAAUGAAUCGGACAAAAAAAACCACGUGAGAAAAAAAAACCGGACAAAAAAAACCGCCCAUGAGGGAAAAAACCGUGUGCGGUAAAAAAACCUCCCGUGAGGAAAAAAACCGUGUGCAGUAAAAAAAAACGACGGACGAAAAAAACCAUCGGAAGCCUUGCGUAUUUUUUAAGUAGGUAUAGAUAGGUUGGAUUUAGACAUUUUUGUUAAUUCGGUCUUUUUCGAACUAUUCGGUUAACCGAGGAGACUAACCGAAUUGACCGAAUAAAAUUCGGUCUUUCACUACCUAGGACCAAAUUGAUGACUGAAUUUCUCGGUCUCGGUCUUUUCGAUCUCGGUCUUUUCGGUUCGGUCUUUUUCUACCUACCCCUAGGGGUGUGUUUGGAUAAUGAGAAAUGGGGAGUGGGAUUGAGACGGGGAAAUGAAUGAAGGGUUAGGAUUAAAUGAAAGAGGGAGAAUAAAUGGUUAGGAUUUAAAGAUGUCUUUUGGUGGGUGGAAAAUCAUUUCCCAAACCCAUUAGCCAAACACUGCCUAGGUGAUACACACUGUUACUGCGUUGGACGGACGACGGAGUGGAAGAGUGGAACGGAAGAGGCGGAGGGCGCUUGGCGGGCUUGGGAUUGCAG